AUGGAACGCUGGCGGCAGGCCUAACACAUGCAAGUCGAACGAGUGGCGGACGGGUGAGUAAUGUCUGGGAAACUGCCUGAUGGAGGGGGAUAACUACUGGAAACGGUAGCUAAUACCGCAUACCAUCAGAUGUGCCCAGAUGGGAUUAGGUAGUUGGUGGGGUAACGGCUUACAAAGGCUACGAUCCCUAGCUGGUCUGAGAGGAUGACCAGCCACCCUGGAACUGAGACACGGUCCAGACUCCGACGUGAGGCAGCAGUGGGGAAUAUUGCACAAUGGGCGCAAGCCUGAUGCCUCCAUGCAGCGUGUCUGAAGAAGGCCUUCGGGUUGUAAAGUACUUUCAGCGGGGCGGCGUUACCAGCAGAAGAAGCACCGGCUAACUCCGUGCCAGCAGCCGCGGUAAUAC
rnacentral:rRNA from 1 species